GGGGAUGUAAAGAUCGACGGAAGAGCUCUUUAAAAACGGCAAGUCGACUUUGACUGGCAGUCGAAAACACAGUCAAAAAUAACUGUCAACAGCAAUGUUGGCCGCGACUACGCUUUAGCGUACGCUUAAUAAGCUUAAGCAAGCAUAGUUGCUGUCUUUAAGGCUUUCUCCCGAUGAAGCCUUACAGGCAUGAACAAAGUCGGGAUACAAUCCCGCCCCUUGACUAAAAGGCGGGGCCAAGUAUUUUUAGUCUUUGUCUUAACUUUCCGGUCAACAGGAUCAGGUUAAGACAAGAAACAAAAGUUGACUAAGCUUGUAGAAGUUUUUAAAAACUUUUUUCGGACUCCGGCUCAUUGCCGGACAUCUCCACAC
rnacentral:tmRNA from 1 species